GACGAACGCUGGCGGCGUGCCUAAUACAUGCAAGUCGAGCGCAGGAAACUGACGGAACUCUUCGGAGGGAAGGCAGCGGAAUGAGCGGCGGACGGGUGAGUAACACGUAAGGAACCUGCCUCAAGGAUUGGGAUAACUCCGAGAAAUCGGAGCUAAUACCGGAUAGUUCAACGGACCGCAUGGUCCGCUGAUGAAAGGCGCUUCGGCGUCACCUUGAGAUGGCCUUGCGGUGCAUUAGCUAGUUGGUGGGGUAACGGCCCACCAAGGCGACGAUGCAUAGCCGACCUGAGAGGGUGAUCGGCCACACUGGGACUGAGACACGGCCCAGACUCCUACAGGAGGCAGCAGUAGGGAAUCUUCCACAAUGGACGAAAGUCUGAUGGAGCAACGCCGCGUGAGUGAUGAAGGUUUUCGGAUCGUAAAACUCUGUUGUAAGGGAAGAACACGUACGAGAGGGAAUGCUCGUACCUUGACGGUACCUUACGAGAAAGCCACGGCUAACUACGUGCCAGCCGCCGCGGUAAGAC
rnacentral:rRNA from 1 species